GUGUCAGCAGCCGCGGUAAUACGGAAGGUCCGGGCGUUAUCCGGAUUUAUUGGGUUUAAAGGGAGCGUAGGCGGUCUGUUAAGCGUGUUGUGAAAUGUAACGGCUCAACCGUUGACUUGCAGCGCGAACUGGCAGUCUUGAGUGCGCAGGAAGUAGGCGGAAUUCGUGGUGUAGCGGUGAAAUGCUUAGAUAUCACGAAGAACUCCGAUUGCGAAGGCAGCUUACUGUAGCGUAACUGACGCUGAAGCUCGAAAGUGCGGGUAUCGAACAGGAUUAGAUACCCUGGUAGUCCGCACGGUAAACGAUGGAUGCCCGCUGUUCGUUCAUUUAGGAUGAGUGGCCAAGCGAAAGCAUUAAGCAUCCCACCUGGGGAAUACGCCGGCAACGGUGAA
rnacentral:rRNA from 1 species